CCUACGGGGGGCAGCAGUGAGGAAUAUUGGUCAAUGGGCGUAAGCCUGACGCAGCGACGCCGCGUGAGGGAUGAAGGUCUUCGGAUCGUAAACCUCUGUCAGCAGGGAAGAACGGUCACUGUGCUAAUCAGCAGUGAAUUGACGGUACCUGAACAGGAAGCACCGGCUAACUCCGUGCCAGCAGCCGCGGUAAUACGGGGGGUGCGAGCGUUAAUCGGAAUUACUGGGCGUAAAGCGCUCGUAGGCGGGAUGACAAGUCAAGGGUGAAAUCCCCGGGCUCAACGGGGGAACUGCCUUUGAAACGGGCAAACUGGAGUGUGUGAGAGGAUAGUGGAAUUCCAGGUGUAGGAGUGAAAUGCGUAGAUAUCUGGAGGAACAUCAGUGGCGAAGGCGACUAUCUGGCACAUAACUGACGCUGAGGAGCGAAAGCGUGGGUAGCAAACAGGAUUAGAUACCCUGGUAGUC
rnacentral:rRNA from 1 species